CAGCACCUCAAGUGGUCAGGAUGAUUAUUAAGCCUAAAGCAUCCGUAGCCGGCGCUGUAAGUUUUCGGUUAAAUCUGUACGCUCAACGUACAGGCUGCCGGGAAUACUGCAGCGCUAGGGAGUGGGAGAGGUAGACGGUACUCGGUAGGAAGGGGUAAAAUCCUUUGAUCUAUUGAUGACCACCUGUGGCGAAGGCGGUCUACCAGAACACGUCCGACGGUGAGGGAUGAGAGCUGGGGGAGCAAACCGGAUUAGAUACCCGAGUAGUCC
rnacentral:rRNA from 1 species